AUACACUCGACAAAUAGUCGAUUCCAAACCGAAGUCUAAUCCUCGGAUUUCGAGGAAUCACUUCCUUACACCGAGAGUGUAAAUUUGGAACGAAUCGAUGUCAACGUUUAGAAGAACAAAAACCGAAACAACAUUAGACUACUCAGUUGCGCCCUAACAGUAUAACUUUGCAACGAGUACUAUUUCUCAUUCUAUCGAACAAAGAGCAAAACCUAAUUAUAUUAUUUUAUUAUGCCCCGAGAGUGUAAAUUUGGAACGAAUCGAUGUCAACGAUCACAAGAAUCAAAAUCGGAACAAUACUAGACUACUCAGUUGCGCCCUAACAAUAUAACGUUGCAACGAGUACUUUUUCUCAUUCUAUCGAACAAGGAGUAAAACCUAAUUAUAUUGGUCUAUUAUGCCCCGAGAGUCUAAUUUUGGAACGAAUCGAUGUCAACGUUUACGAGAACCAAAACCGGAACAACAUUAGACUACUCAGUUG
rnacentral:lncRNA from 1 species